rnacentral:rRNA from 1 species
GACGUAGGGCGCGAGCGUUGUCCGGAUUUAUUGGGCGUAAAGAGCUCGUAGGCGGCUUGUCGCGUCGACUGUGAAAACCCGCGGCUCAACUGCGGGCCUGCAGCCGAUACGGGCAGGCUAGAGUUCGGUAGGGGAGACUGGAAUUCCUGGUGCAGCGGUGAAAUGCGCAGAUAUCAGGAGGAACACCUGCGGCGAAGGCGGGUGGCUGGGCCGACACUGACGCUGAGGCGCGAAAGCCAGGGGAGCGAACGGG